GGCCGGGGAGAAUGCGGGGAGACCGCGUUUAGAGGAUCAGUGGCGGCGGGCCCGCGCGGUGCCGGCGACUAGCAGCGAGAUGUCCUGGCCCCUUCCAGGUUUGGGAGAAUGGAGAGAGCAAGGUGUAGCUGAUUAGCAAGUUAAUUAUUUCAGUACCCCAAGGGUUCAUGCGUGGUGGAGAUGGCCUUGGGAGAGCAACCUCCGGACCUCAGCAGUGUGAGGAUGACAACAGUACCCUGUGGUGCUGUCCCCACUCAGGUUGGCUGCCAUCCCUGCUGAUGGAGAGAGGCUGAAGUCUGUCUGAGAAGAUAGUGCAGGCAGCUACUUAGCUGGUACUAAUUGUAUUUGCAGAGUAGGGGGUUUCUCUCUGUAGCCCCGACUGUCCUGGAACUCACUCUGCAGACCAGGCUGUCCUCAAGCUCAGAGAUCUACCUGCCUCUGCCUCUGAAGUACUGGGAUUAAAGAUGCAGAGGCCUCCCAGAGAAGUGUGAAGGAAUGGGCCUUAACCAGGGUUGAAGAAAGAAAGUGAAGAAGGGGAGAGCCCAAGGAAAGGUGGGGACAGUUGGAACUUUUGUUUACACUGGUCUACUACUCAUGUAUCGUAUGCUAUAAUCUCCAAAUUCCACAUUUAUUGUAGCUGUCUGCAGUGUGUAUGCCCCGGCCGCAUGCUGCUUGGCUAAAAAAGUGUUAAAUAAAACUGUAAGAAACGCUAC
rnacentral:lncRNA from 1 species